AACGAACGCUGGCGGCAGGCUUAACACAUGCAAGUCGAGCGCGUAGCAAUACGAGCGGCAGACGGGUGAGUAACGCGUGGGAACGUACCCUUUUCUACGGAAUAACGCAGGGAAACUUGUGCUAAUACCGUAUACGCCCUUUUGGGGAAAGAUUUAUCGGGGAAGGAUCGGCCCGCGUUGGAUUAGCUAGUUGGUGGGGUAAAGGCCUACCAAGGCGACGAUCCAUAGCUGGUCUGAGAGGAUGAUCAGCCACAUUGGGACUGAGACACGGCCCAAACUCCUACGGGAGGCAGCAGUGGGGAAUAUUGGACAAUGGGCGCAAGCCUGAUCCAGCCAUGCCGCGUGAGUGAUGAAGGCCCUAGGGUUGUAAAGCUCUUUCACCGGAGAAGAUAAUGACGGUAUCCGGAGAAGAAGCCCCGGCUAACUUCGUGCCAGCAGCCGCGGUAAGGCGUAUGUGU
rnacentral:rRNA from 1 species